CUCCAGCACUCAGGAGAGAUGGCCCCACCCCUCACCACAGGUAUGGGAGAGCUGGACCCAAUGACAUAGGCCUAGGAGAGCUGGCUCUGCCCCUCACCAGAGGGGGAGGUUCCAGUAGCCUGGACCAACCAGCUGAGCUACUACCCAGAAACCACAUCCUGGUCCUUGGGUUGGCCCACCCUAACACCUACCCCAUUCAUAACCUGCUGGAGCUCAUGAAGAGACUGGUCCUGAAGAAUGUGCAGGAUAUCUGAGAGGAGUUUUAGUGAAUGUCCAGUGAUGAUGGUGUGCCAGAGGCUUUGAACCACCAGACCAGCGACUCAUUGCAAUGAACAUUUUCUGAGUGGGGCUGAGUAGAGGACAAAAGGGUAUACUGAGUGACACACUGCAGCUCCUGAUGCCGCUAGGAUGAAUGAAGAAGUGUUGGAAAGAUGGAGGAACAAGAGGUGAAAGGAGAAGACAGCUUCAGAUCAUAGUGAUGAAGGUUGAGGUGUGAGAUAAGCAAUCUCAUGACUGAGUCUUCUUCCCUUCAUGGUAUCUGUGGUAGUUUGAAUGGAAUUGGCCCCCAUAAUCUCAUAGGGAGUGGCACUAUUAGGAGGUGUGGCUUUGUUGGAGUGGGUGUGGCCUUGUUAGAGGAAGUAUGUCACUGUGGGGGGCGGGCUUUUGAGGUUUCCUACGCUCAGGAUACCGCCCAGUGUCUAAGUCGACUUCCUGUUGCCUGUAAGUGGUAGGAUUCUCAGCUAUUUCUCAAGCACCACGUCUGACUGCAUGCUGUCAUGCUCUCUGUCAUGAUGAUAAUGGAAUGAACCUCUGGAACUAAGAAGCAUCCUUAAGCCAAGCCUGGUGGUCCAAGACUGCAAUUCUUGCUACUUAGAAGGCUGAGACAGGAGGAUCCCAACUUCAAUUUCUGACGGAUUCUAGGGCUUUGACGGCAAGAGCCCCCCUGGCUGAUGAUCAUCCUGCAUGCUACCACGGAGUGAGUUGGAUUCCGAGAGUUGGCUUGGUUUCUAAAGACCUGCCAGCUCCAAUUGUGACAGAGGAGUGCAUAAACAACCCAAAGGGGGAGAGAAUGGGCCUGGGGUGACAGAGACCACCAGAGUUUCCCAAAGAAAGCUCUGUCUCAUGUCUUGGAUGAGUCACUGAUAUUAGCACUGGGGAAUAGCAUCAAGGCAAGAGGCUGUGUGCCUCUUUGCAUCUGAACACUUCAGGCUAUCACUCUUUGCUUGGAGGAAGAGCUGUCAUCCACCUGUCCAUCGUGAUUGACUUAGACGCAUUGGUUCUUAAAAGUGACCCAGUAUUGCAGAAUAUUCCUUUAUACUGUGUGAAGAUAUGCUGUUGUGAUUGGUUUAAUAAAAAGCUAACGGACCAAUAGCUAAGCAGGAUUUGGGGGGCAGAGAGAGUGCUGGGAAGAAGAAGGGCAGAAAAGCCAAUCAGACUGAGUCAGACACAUAAAAUGGAAUAGAGCUACUUGGUAGAAUGGAGAUUAAUAAAAAUAUGGACUAAUUUAAGUCAUAAGAGCUAGAUAGGAACAGAGGUGAUAGGGCAGUGUUGGCGCAUGCCUUUAAUCCCAGUGCUCAGGAGGCAGAGGCAAAUGGAUCUCUGUGAGUUCCAGGCCAGCCUGGCCUAUAGAGUGAGUUCCAGAACAGCCAGGACUGUUUCAUGGGGAAACUCUGUCUUGGAAAAGCAACAACAACAAAAGAAACAAGUUGAGGCUAUUGACCAAGAUUUCAUAAUUAAUAAGAAGUCUUCAUGUGGUUAUUUGGGAGCUGGAUGGUGGGGUAGAAAGAUCCACCUACAGCCGAGCAAGGCUGCACUCUUCCUGGCUUUCUUCUAAGACUCAAAUACUGACAGGAAAUGGAUGCCUCUGCAUUCUGAGUGAAUAUGGCCUGCCAGAGGCUGCUGCAGAAUUCAGUGACUAAAGGGAGCUGCUCUGGGAAUGAAGACUCAGGAAGGAGUGGUCCUGUCUUGGCUACUAUUCUACUGCUGUGCUGGGACACCAUGACCAAGGCAUCUUACAAAACAAAGUGUUUAAUUUGGGGCCAUACAUCCUCAUCCCUAAUGUUCCACCAACUAGAGACCAAGCAUUCAAGUAUAUGAGCCUAUGAAGGCCAUUCUCAUUCAGACCACCACAGAAUUAUGUUAGUCAAAGAACCCUUGUAUUGUGAGUGACCCUGCUUUCCCCAGACUUCAUACUCACUUAGGGGAUUCCAAUCUCUAGUCUCUAUGUGGCUGGACGUCAUCCCCCUCCCAGCUCUAACUUUCUGGGGGUCUGGGGUUGAGGACAUAGUGACUCUCUACCUCUUCCAACUCGAGGUCCAGGCUGGAUACUUGGGAAUUAGGAAAAAGGCCUGCCCUCUGUCUCCCUGGCCUAGUCUGGAGGGUCUUCCUCUGGUUCUGCACAGCUUGUUCCCAUUGCCCCAAAGCCAUCCUUCAGCACUGAGUCCCUACUCACUAGGCUUUCCUUUUGCUCCAAAGUCAUUACAGGAUCUUGAGAAGGUUCCUUUGUCCGGGCCUUAGUUCUGCAUCCAUCUAAUGGGGCAAGGGUAGAAGGGGUCUUUAAGUUUCUUCCCACCCUGACAUUUUAGGCCCAUUAAUGUGUUGGCACCAUGAUCCUAUACCCACCCCUUACUCCCCCUUUCCACCCUGUCCCUUCUUUGUUGCUCAGCUCUAGUACCUGCCUCUCCCGGGCUGAUGAGAGAUUAGAUGUGGGCCCUUCCUCUCACCUUGUGUGAGACGCCUACCCAAAGCAGAUGCUGCUCACCAAGAGCCAGUCUGGCAGUGUCUGGGAAUCACAUUGGCAAGCAGCUGGGGGGCGAAGGGUCCAGUUUGGGGAACAGCCAGUUCAAUGUUACCAUUAGGUAUUUGAAUUGGAGGAGUUAGUCACUGCAGCCAAGAAGCCAGAACAAGUGCCAUUCACACUGACUGCAGCAUUGUGAGCAAGGGUGACUCAUCACAGACAGCCUCUAGCCGGAGUGGCUGUUACCAUGGCCUAUAAAAACCCCUACCAGCAUGAAGAAGGGCAGUGGGAGGGACAGGCAUAGACUGGGCACAGGAUACAGCUUUCUGUUGGGUCCAGGAUGGAGAGAAACCAUGUCAAAGGGUUUGGAGGCUACUUCUGUGCUGCCUGUGCUCCUGAGGCAGUACAACACUGGGGAGGGACAGCACCCAACUGGCCACAUCUGCAGGACCAGAUCCAACCUGUGCUCACUUGUGUAUGUUAUUAAGGGAGUUGGUGGUAAGGGGUUGAAGCUCAGCCAAUGAUCAAGUUCGUCGUUGUCCAUCCAGGAACAAAAACCAGUGCUCAGUCUAGCUCACACUAAUGAUCGCCCUUUAUAUGAGGACCAUGCAUUAGAUUUAUUCUUACGAAUACCCAAGAGAGCCGGGCGUUGGUGGUGCAUGCCUUUAGUCCCAGCACUCAGGCAGGUGGAUCUCUGUGAGUUCGAGACCAGUCUGGUCUACAAGAGCUAGUAACAGUACAGCCUCCAAAAGCCACAGAGAAACCCUGUCUCGAAAAAACAAGCAACCAAAAAAAAAAAAAAAAAAAAAAAAAAAAAAACAACAAAAAAAACAAAAACAAAAAAAAAAAAAACCGAAUACCCAAGAGAAACAAUUUAAAGGCAGCAAGGUUUACUCGGGCUAAUGGCUUUAGAGGGUUUUAGUCAACAGUAAUUAAAUUCUGUUGCUUUUAGGUCUGUGGCAAGGCUAAAACAUACUGGAAAAAGAGCAUGGAAAGGGCCACUCUCCAGUCACCUCACGGCAGCCAGGAAGCAGAGAGGAUAACAAGAAGGGGUCAGGGUCAAAGGCACAGCCCCAAUGACCCACUUCCUGCAGCCCGACCUCCCACAGUGUCACACUAAUCUCAUAGGUAUUUCUCAAUCCAAUCAAGGUAACAGUCAGGAUGAAUCAUUAUAGCGUGGUCAAGGAGACUGAAAACAGUAUGAAGUAGGGUGAGACCAGCAAGGGAGAGCCACGGGACACAUGGAAGCUGAGCAGAUUACAGGUGUGAGGCUAGGCAAAUGGAAGGGACAGGAAGUGGGAGUUGCAGCUCUAUCACUAACUGUCUGUGUGAUUCUGGAGGGGGUUUGUAUUUCCUGUGUAUAAAAUGAGAAUUUCCCUCCUGAUGACAACUGUACCACAAUAUGCGACUUCAUAUUUUAUAACCUAUCAUCUCUUUGUCCCUCACAAAAACCCAUCUCUCUAGGCCAUGUUAAAUUUGUUAUUUUUAUUUCUAUUUAUUGUUGCUGUUCUUUGAGGCAGAGUUUCUCUGUGUAGCCCUGGAACUCACUUUGUAGACCAGGCUGGCCUCAAACUCACAGAGAUCCGCCUGCCUCUGCCUCCUGAAUGCUGCUGGGAUUAAAGGCGUGAGCCACCACCAUCCAGCAGUGUUUUGUUGCUAUUGUUUUAAUUUUUUUAGAUGUAUUUGUUUAUGUGUGUAAGUCUUUUGCCCAUGUGUAUGUAUGAACACCAUGCUCACCCCUGAUGGCCACGGAGGACAGAAGAAGGUUUAUAACUCCCAGAACUGGUGUUAAGGAUGGUUGUGGGCACCAUGUGGGUACUGAGAACUGAACCAGGGUCCUCUUCUAGAGCAGCCAAGUGCCCUCAACUGCUGAGCCACCAUCUCUUCAGCCCUGGUUUUGCUUUUGUAAAUAUUAUGUUCAUACUUUUUGUACAUAUGAAGUGUAGGUACCUGACUAGUUCAGAAGAAGGCAUUGGUUCCUCUUGAGCUGGAUAUACAGAUGGCUCUGAGUUGCCUGGCAUGGUACUGGUACUGGGAAUGGAACCCUUGUCCUCUGCAAGAGCAGUAAGUUCUCUUAAUCACUGAGUCAUCGCUCCAGCCUAUUUGUUUGUUUUGAGACAGAAUUUCACUUUGCAACCCAGGCAGGUUUUAAAAAGAUGCACUAAUUCCCCUGUCUCAGACUCUGGAGUUCUGGGAUUAUAGGUAUGAACUUCUGUCUUACUCAGUGUCCUAUUGCUGUGAAGAGGUAUCAUGACCAUGGGGCUCACUAGAGUUCAGAAGUUUAGCUCAUUAUCAUCAUAGCAGGGAGCAUGGUGGCACACAGGCACACCUGACGCUGGAGAAGUUGAGAGUUGCACAUCCAGAUCCACAGGCAGCAGGGGAGGAGGGGCUUGGUGUGAGCAUUUGAAACCUCAAAGCUCAGCCCCAGUGAUACUCUUCCUCCAACUAGGUCACACCUUUUAAUCCUUCUCAAGUAGGGCCACUUUCUGCUGACUAAGCAUUCACAUAUAUGAGCCUAUGGGGGUCAUUCUCAUUCGAACCAUCACAACCUCCUUUCCUGACUUUUGUUCUAUCUUAGUUAAGGUUUCUAUUGCUAUGAAGAGACACAAUGGCCAUGGCAGCUCUUAUAAGGAAAACAUUUAGUUGAGGGGGCUGGCUUACAGUUUCAUUAUCACCAUGACAGAGAGCAUGGCAGCAUGCAGGCAGACAUGGUGCUGGAGGAACAGCUAUGAGUCCUAUAUUUUGCAGGAAACAGGAAAUCAACUGAGACACUGAGUGGUAUCCUGAGCAUUAGAAACGUUAAAGCCCACCCCCAUAGUGACACACUUCCUCUAACAAGGCCACACCCACUCCAACAAAGCCACACCGCCUAAUAGUGCCACUCCCUAUGUGAUUAUGGUUGCAAUUACAUUCACAUACCACAUGUUCCUUUUCUUUUCUUUCUUUUUUCCUCAGAGUUAAUUGUUGUUCAUGUUUCAUUUGCUUCUUCUGUUGAUCCCUGGUCAGAUCUUCCUGCCUUUCAUUCUCCAUCCUGGGUCCUUUUACUCCCUUUCCCAACCAUCCUAGAGCUGUUGGCUUUUUCACCUGAAUUCAAAGCUCUUUAGUUCAGUCACAUCCAUGGCCUCCUAUAACUUCCCUUUGCCACCAGCCAGAUAGUUCCUUCCUCCCAUUCCUCUGUGGGUAACUGGGCUUUAUUUUUAUUAUUAUUAUUUAUUUUUUGGUUCUUUCUCUCCUUUUGUGGCUUAUGCUCUUCUGGAGCUCCUCCAUGGAAUGAGCUUCCCAAGGAAGUAUGCAUGGGAGAUAAAUUGUUUAAAUCUUAUAUGUUUGAAGAUGCCUCUAUUCUGCCUCACUCUAGAUUGGCUGUUAGAUUUGGGUACAGACUUCUUAGCUACAAGGCCUCGUGUCAUAGUCUUCCAGCUUCUGGUGUUACUAGGAAGCCUGAUGCACAUCUUACUUCUUAUCCUUGUAUAAGUGUUGGGACCCAGCCCCCACGGGGUCUCUAAGAGUUGUUUUCCAGUAUAACCACAGGUACUUCCUGUUUUCUUAACUUCAUCCCCACUAGCAUCAAUAUCCUGUUGUGAACCCUUUCACCUGGGGUUUUUGUAAGUUUGUUUAUAAGGCUGCUCCACAAUAAAGGUGAGAGACAUUCUCUUAGAAAAAGACCAGGAGUCUUAUUGUUCAUCCAAAUCUCUAGGCUUUCGCCUGAUACUCGGACUUAGUGGCCAAGAGCAGCCACAAGUGGAGGUCCCACUGAGAUUGGGAAAGAAAGGGGACCUUGAGAGAUCACCCUCAGAAGGCUGGAAAGCAAAUAAGGAGUUGUGAGGGUGGAUUGCAAAAGGUACUAGAAAAUAGGUACCUCAACUCCUGAGAGAGUUGGAUUAGCAAAAGGUACUAGAAAAUAGGUACCUCAACUCCAAAGAGAGUUGGAUUGUAAAGGCACUGGAAAAGGGAUGCCUCAACUCCUAAGAGAAUUGGAUUGGAAUAGAGAUCACAGUCAAUCACACAGAGAAAGUUUAAAGAGACAAGAUACUGGUAAGAUUUCAUUUUAACUUUGGAUUAAGUAAUAAUGCCAAGAAAAGUAUUAAAGAAAUACGGGAAAUCCUCCACUGAGGAAUCCCUCCCUCUUGAGCUUUGCAUCAGCAGCCAGAUGACCCAGCAGCCUGUGCCCUUGUCCACUCCAGCCCGCUGUGGGCUCCAAUGAGCUGGCAAUGAUGUGGUGUGCACCAGCUGGCUGGAGAAAUCACCUCCUGAGAAAAAGUUGGGGCACUAUGCUUGGAAGAAGUGCUGGUUUAUUCUGCGGAGUGGUCAGAUAAAUGGUGACCCAGAUGUUCUAGAAUACUAUAAGAAUAAACACUCCAAGAAACCACUGCGAAUCAUCAGCUUAAAACUUCUGUAAGCAUUUGGAUGUAGGCCUGACCUUCAACAAAAAUGAGCUCCAAAAGAGUUUUAUGUUUGAUAUCAAGACCAAUGAGUGCACCUUCUACCUGGUGGCUGAGACAGAGGUCAACAUAAAUAGGUGGGUCCAGAGCAUCUGCCAGAUCUGCAGCUUCAGUCAGACUACAGAGAUCAGACUCGGGGCUGGAGAGAUGGCUCAGAGGUUAAGAGCACUGGCUGCUCUUACAGAGGUCCUGAGUUCAAUUACCAGCAACCACAUGGUGGCUCACAACCAUCCGUUAUGAGAUCUUGUGCCCUCUUCUGGUGUGCAGAUAUACAUGGAAGCAAAAUGUUGUAUACAUAAUAAAUAAAAUCUUUUUAAAAAAGAGAGAGAGAUCAGACUCCCUGAGAAAUCUUUCUUCAGUCAGUCAUAGUCUCUGCUCUUCUCCAGCUGAGUUCAGCAGCUCCAG
ensembl:lncRNA